AGUGAACCUUGAACCGGUGUUUUGACCGGUUCAAGUCCGAUUCGGUUCUGAUAACUAUGGUAGUGAAGAGUGACUGUUUCCCGAACUCCAGAAGAAAGUUUGGAAUCCGGGUUUUGGUUGGUGCUAGGGUAAUUGGUCUGCCUCUUGGCCACAAUCCCAAGGCCAAAUUGGUUGUGCCAACACACUGUGGGACUCGAGCGGUAAGUCCCAAAGCUAUGAUUUGUUGGCCUAUUUACUGUAUAAUUUAUUUUUUGUUUUUUUAAAAUCCAUUGCAGCGCCGCUGCCCACUCGCCCCCCCAGGAAUCUGGGUCGGCCAUGUACAUACAUGUUAUAAUAGUGCACAGCAUAUACAAUAAUUAUAUAAAAACACAUAAGCCAUACACAAAUAAUGCAUACAAGUCAUUAGUUCACACUUCACACAUCACGACAAACCAAAAACCAAAAAUAAACGGAGUUUUUUUUUUUCCUCUUAUGAAAAUGGUAUCCAUGGCACACUCUUAACCCUUUCACAUCAAGCAAGUAAUAUAAAUAAUAAUAAUUAUAACACACUUUCUAAGUUAGGUUUUUAGGAUUUUUUUUUAUUUUUUAUUAAUUUUUUGAUAACUUAAAUCCCACCAUGGAACUUUCACAUAAAUUUGAGUAAAAUAGAAAUAUUUUUAAAUAAUAAUUAACUCAUUUUCUAUACUAGGGUUUAGUACUUUUUAUAAAUAAAAAAAUGACAGCAUUAUUCAAACAAAAUUUAACAUACAAUAUUGAAUCAGAAAAAGUUAAGGUUGUUUCAUAUAGUUUUUUGUCCUCACCUUUAUUUUUUUUAUUUUUUUUUUUUUCUUAUAAGAUUUUUAUAUCACACAACCGUUUGAAGUACUACCUAUUUCAUCCACCUGUGCGUUAAGAUGUUUUUCCUAACUCUCCCUCGGGCUGGUUUGCUUCACUAUAUCAAAGUGAUCCUGCUUUACCAUUCAAGUGCACUUUAUCUUUCUUUUUGUUAAUUUUUUGCAAUCACUUAACAUGUUACCAAGUGUUGUAGUAUUAUAGGUUUUUUAAAAUCUCAUCCCAAAAGAUUUAAAUUAGUAUUACUCCUUUAUAUUCAUUAAUCAACCUAUUGUCUCUAAUUGUGACUGCGCACUAUCACAUAGGCUCAAUUUAAUUAACUCUUAUCGUAGAAAGGUGACAUAUGCAGUGCACUUCUAUGCAAAUAACAUUCUUCACUUGCGAUGUCUAUUUUUUCUAAAAGACUAUUCCCAGUCAUUCAGCUUUUGCAGCAAUUUACAUUUGAAUUUAUACCAUUAAAUUUUUCUGUCUCUUUGUACUUGAAUUUUAUUAUUUUUUAUUUUUUAUUUUCAAGAUGUUUUUAGGUACAUGAAAGCACAUUAGCCAUUCAAUAGUUUAUAUUUCCUCGUAAUUAAAAUAAAAGAGUAGAAAACAAAAAAUGGACAAAUAUGGAAUUAAGAAACAAAUGAUUAUUUUUUAUUGGUUAUUGUUUUUCGAUCUAUAGACAAUCCAUUUAUGCCUUAUAAUAUAGUUUUAGCAAAAAUCACAAUGUUCACUGAUUGGAGUCAUGAUGGAAACAAUUGAUUGAACCAUACUUUCAAGUAGAUUAAUUCUACCUAUUAUUAAAUUUUAGUUUAAAAAAAUUUAAGUUUUUCUUUUUUAAUUUUCCUGUUUUUAGCAAUAAUAAGUGCCAACAAUUGGGGUCGCUAGUCCACUCAAACUAUUCUUUCAUGGUAUUUUAUAUUAUUCCUUGUGGAAUUGUUUUUAGUGUGUAACUGGUAUUGUCUUUUCAUAAUUGUUUUUGUCACAAAUGAGUUGGUAUGGUGUUUGAAGGAAUGAUGAGACUCUAAGAGGAACCAAUCCCUCCUAAUUCAUAAAACGUGGUUUGACUGCUUUAACAAGCAGAUGGAAAAGUAACCACACAACAUACCCCGGAAACCCUAGCAAAUUUGUUUGUUUAGACACAACACACAACAUAAAACGUAAAUUUGUCGUUUAGACAGUAAACGGUCAAAUUUAUUCAUACUUGGUUUUGCAUGCAACAAUAUUUUAUUUAAAGUGGAGGUCUAAUUUUAAUUUUUUUUCUACUAACUAAUUUGGUUAAGUGUAACAAUAGAGGGGUUAGCAACAGCUCCACUGCUAUUGUAAGUCGCUUUCGCUGUUUAGAUUUGAUAAAUCACUGACCUCGGGCAUGCCACCAUGCAAUGUCGUAUUUCAUGAGUCUCAAUGAUCCUCAAGAACUUGCCUGCCCAAAUGCCUUUGGAAGCAUGUGCAGAAGCACAAGAGUAAAGUAAGGUCCAAAAAAACUAUUGUGAAUCAAAGAGUAAAUUCAACAUCCUAUGCGCACGUAUAAACUAAAUAUAAGUCAUACAAGACUUAGUUUUUGAAUCAAUUUCAAGUGCAGACCCAGCAAACAGAAAAAAACACGGAUGCUUCAACUGUCAAUUGGGUGGGGAAUGUAUGUUUACUUUGCUCAAGUACCGAAGCCCUAGCAAACGCCUCUUGAACCUUAAGCAUCCUCCAAUCUAAUUUCCUCUUCAAAUUGUUCUAAUUCUCCUUCAACAGUGCCACUAGUUUUCUUUCCAGCAAGAACAUCCAGAAGAGUUGCUUUAACCAUCUCCACUUACACCCAUCAAUGGCCGGCCAUGACCCCAGGUUAUUCACCAUAUAUCACCAAGAAGUUUGAGUUUUGUGUGAAAUCCCAUUUUCUCUCAUUUCCUGAGCUCAAAUAAGGCACCAAGUGAUAGCCGAAGAAGUAUCCACGAAAGUUUAGUCCACGACUUAUCAAGUGUUUCUCUCCCUCUAUUGUUGUAUUCACCGCCAGUGCUACUCAAAUAUGGAAGAGCUAGAAUAAUAGAAGGUUAUGACAUCUAUUUCUCCGGCGGCAAAAUAAACUUUGAUUAACAUCAUUGGCCAAAAAGAAUCAACCUCAAACCAUUGUUAAAAUCCUACAUCCAGAAGAUGAUUUUAUGGAUGAAAAAGUACGGGACAACAAUUAGAAGUCAGAAUUUUCCAUGAAUCUGGAAACGAAGGUUUUACCCAGUGCACGAGGCUCCUACAUACAAGGGUAAGUUUGGCUAUCAAAGUAUGACCAAUGAACAUAUAAGGUAUUUGGCGAAUGAUAGUCCAUGCUGAAUAUUCUGAUUAUUAGAGAAGUAGGGGAAAUGGAUGGAGCUCAUGAAUGGAUAAAGAUGUACAAUACGGAAGAAUAUGUGGCACUGGCUAGACAGUUAAGGAGACGGGAUUCAUGUUUGCCUAUACAUUUAGCAUUUCUUUUGCCAUUGUUGUUGAAGUGGCUAAUUGAGGUACCUGCUUAAAUACUAAACGACUAUCUAAUUCGAAUAAUGAUCACUCCAUGCCUUGCAAGUGAACGCUUUAUAGCAUGAAUUCAUGAACUUGUACAAUUGCAAAAAAAGAGGCUUGCACUUGUUAAUUAUAGGAAGCAACAAAUUGGAUCAUAGCUAGAUACUCACGUUUGCAUCUUGGAGCAAGAAAUUCAUAACAGCAAGGCCUAUCUCACAAUGUCAAUGGGCGAAACCCAAAAUCCCCACAUCAACCAAUUUGGCAAGAGCUGCAAGCAAAAAGAAGGCUUUAAGUUUAUCUGCCAAAAGAAUUGUCAAAAAAAUCAAGUUUGAAGAGGAGGUAUGAAACUACGUUUGGGAUAAUGAAGCCAAUGAAAUAAAAAUACAACUAAUAAUCGCAAACUUCCCAGCUGCUGAGAAGCAACAAUGAGAAGACAGAUGCCAAGAAGCGAACCAUGGAUGUUGUCGCAAGUGUACGCAAAAGUAGAACAAAAUGACGAAAGAACCUGAGAAACAGAUGAGUGCCGUAGAAAUCAAUACAAUUCCCAUUAAGUUUAGAAGGGGUAGGACCCUACUUCUAUUGAAAGCUACUAGUGAAUCUCAAUGCUGCCCAGGAUUUACUCAUCCACGAAAACUGACUUAAAUUGCCCGAGUGUUGAUUCAAAUAUUGGUUAAAUACACACACACACAAACAUUACAAAUAUACAGCGGAAUAGUAAAUGAAAGCCUUUCUAGUGGGACACUAACCUCCCUGCUCAGGACGUAUCCUAUAACAUAAUAAGUUAGCGAUGCCAGAAGAGCUUCCAACAGCGAGAGAGGUGAUACUUGGAUAACUGCAUGCUUCAUUUAACCAAAAUAGAUUGAUACAAAAAUGUAUUUAUAUUAACCCUAAUUAAGAGGAAGCCAUAAUAACAAAAAUUACUAAACUACUUACAAAGCUACCAAACUACAUAUAUGUACAUUCACACCCCUCUCAAAACUCAGAAUGCGAAGCGGAGAGAAUCGAGAAUUUGUCAAGGAGAAAAACGAAAGCGAUAUGUAGCAUGAGUCUUCGUGAUGAAGUCGGCAAGCUAAGAGUAGAGGAAAACAAAAGGCAAGGGCAUAGUGCCAGAGUGACGGACGCGAAGAACAAAGUGACAAUCGAUCUCAAUAUGUUUCGUGCGAUCAUAAAAGUCAGGAAUUGUGAACAAUCUGGAUUGCACUCUUAUUAUCACCAACAAAGGGAUGUGGGAGAGGAUAAGUUUGUUAAUACCCAUAUAGAUAAAAGCCAACGAAGCCAUACAAUUUCUGAGGUAGAGGAGCCAUGGCACGAUAUUCAACCUCAACAAGGAGCGAGAAACAACUGAUGCGUUUGGCUUUUCUAGGAGACAAGAGAAUCACCCCAGAAAAACACAAAAGCUAGAGUGGACUUGUGGCAGGAAUCACCAGCCAAUCAGCGUCAGCAUAUGCUCGAAGUAUCAAGCUCGAGGAGAAGAAAAAGGAGACUUCUAAUGAAUAGUACCACAAACAUAUCGUAGAUGCGUAAAUGCAGGCCCAAUGUGUAAAGCGAGGCCAGAGACAUCCGACUAAUAAUGUGAACCUCAUAGGAGAUAUUGGUCUAUAACAGUAAGAUAAACUAAAACCAAACCCACCAACUCACGAGAUAAAGUAGGAUCAUCAAAGAACUCCAUCUGUAGUAGAGAGCUUAGCAUGAAGUUAAAGAGGGAGUUUCAACUGUUUGUCAUCGUGAGAUAGCCCAGAUUAAGAAUAUCAAUUAUAUACUUAGUAGGGACAAAAGAUAGACUUGGGAGAAGAGCGAAUCAAUGCAAGAAAAAACCGAAGCGGACCCAAGUAUUUCAGUUCAAAUUCACCGAAGAGGUGAUCUUUCACAUCGCUAUGGUUGCAGAAUCAAAACCAGUAAGAUCAUAUCUCAACAACAAUAGAAGAAGAAUCAGGCCAUGAGAAGGUGACAAACAAUAGACUGAAAUCAUGUUGGUUUUUAAACACAUGCAUGAAGCCAAUUUGAAGAACAACAGCCUAAAAAUGUGCAUACCAGGGCACGAGAGACUGUUAGACAAAACCAAUAGGAGAAAUCCAGGAGAGGGUACAAUAUAAAACCUCUUUAGGACAGAUGCCAAGGAAAGUAGUAUUCAAACAUCUAACUAAUAGGGACAGAUGCAACUGUAGCACAGAAAAUAAAGUACGAUUAAUAGUCAUCUUAGCUACAAGAGCAAAGGUCUCUCAUAAUCUAUCCCAUAUCUGAGAAACUCAUGAAGCACUAAACGGCUUAAUCGCUCUAAAAACAUCAGAAUGAGUCUUCACGUUAAGGACCAUUGCAGCCAAAAGAUUUUUGUCAUCCAAGAGUGACUAAUUUCCCAAGUUGAGUUUUAGCAAGGGCAGUGAGCUCAUCAUCAUGGCUUACACCCAAUGAGGAUCAGUACGAGCUUUUUAUAGGGGAAUGAGUUCAAAAUAAGUAUGAAUAUGAGAUAGAAAAGAACGAUAAUCUAAGAGAAAAAGGUUAAUGAAAUCAUUAAAUUUACCAGUGGAUGACGAGGUGUGAUAGGAUAUCUACAGACAAAUAGAAUCAAGGUUCUCAAAGUCAGAUGAAAGAAGCCACAAGCUGGAAUAUGAGAUCAGGAAAGCUGCACAACAACGAAAAUAUACUGGGAGAGCGGGAGGAAGUAAAGACGGACAAAGAUUGAAGUAGCGAGGAGGUGGACAGUCAGACACCUCAAGGGAAGAAAAAAAUAGUGAAGAAGAGGAAAUCUGCUAUGUCAAGUGUAGAUGAAUACUUUUCUGUAGGACUACAUCUGAGGAAAAACGAUCGAGCUAAAUAAAUCAUCAUGGAAACAGAGCAGUUUAGGUGCAAGCGUAAAGUAUGGCCAAACGUUAAAAAAAAAGUGACAUGUCGAGAAACAUACAACUUUUUGGGAUCUAGGAUCAUAAAAACGAUAACCUUUUUGUGAUGAAUCAUACCCCAAGAAAAACACCAUACAAACACCACUGGCACUAAGCUGAGGUGGUAUUUCUUAGGGAGAAGGACAAAAACAUCUAGAUCAAACACUUAAGAAGAGAAAUUCGGAAACCUGACACAUGGAGACAUCAUAAGGCUCUGUUCGAAAAAAUCUCGCAUCGCCUGCCUAGGCGCUAGGCCCCAGCCUAGCUCUGGCUCUCCGGCCCGCCGCUUAACGCCUAGCGCUUUUAGAGACCAAUUUUUAAUUUUUAUGUAUUUUAGAGACCUAAAUGCUCAUUUCUAUCUUCCUCUUUGUAUUAUCAUAUUAAACAUUUGAACUUUAAUAUUUUGAUAUCAUUUUUUGGGUUAUAAUUUGAUAAUUGGUCAUUUAUUAUAUUUUUAAGAAAUAUUAAUGAUUUAAAUAAAAACAAACCAACCUAGGCCCCGCCUAGGCGGACGCCUAGCCGCUAGGCGCUGGCCCCCACCUCGGCGCCGAUUACCGCCUAGCGAUUUUAGAACCUUACUAUAAGGGAACAACCAGAGAGACAAAUGAGUAGACAUUUGGUUUAAAAGAUACGCUGCAGUGAGUAUAACUUAUCCCCAAAAUUACGAAAGGAACGGAAGAGGAUAAAACAAAUGAGAGCGAGUCGUAUCGAUGAGAUGAUAAUAUUUUUUCUCAACCCUACCAUUUUGCGUAGGAGAUCAGAAUAAGAAGACGAAUAAAUAAUCAGAGUAUCUAAAGAUAGCAAUAAAUUUAGAAAGAGAAUAUUCUCAACCAAAUUUGAUUAAAGAAUUUUAAUGAAAGGUAAAAAACUGAGUUUGUUUAAUAUGCAUAAAAGUGUGAAAAACUUUAUAAAAAUCAGAUUUAUGAGCCAUCAGGUAAAACUAUGUGGCAGAGUAUAAUAAUCAACAAACGAAAACAUAGUAUAUGGAACUUGUUAGUAACAAUUUGGGGGACGGACCUCUAAAUCAGUUGUGAACAAUUUGAAAAGGGGAAGUUGAAAAGUAGAAAGAAUUUUAUUAAAUGGCAACAUAGGAUAUUUUAGACGAAACUUACAUCGCAUUGCAUUCAGAAAUGCACUAACAUAAAGAGUUUCAAAAAGACCUUACUUAACUAAAAGUUUUAGACACCUCACUAGACAAAUGAACUAACCUGAAUGCAUAAAACGAAAGGGGAUAAUUUCUAAUUACGAUAAAAGGGUGACACGGCAGGCCAAGAUCGUUGAGGAAGAAGAUGGUGAAAGUGUGCAAGUUUCUCCCAAUACGUAACGCUCAUCAACUCUAGCUGGUCCCAAUCUACUCUGGUCUCUUGAAUCCUGCACAAUACAAAAUGGAAGAAGAAAAACGACAUCAAAAUAAAAAUCAGACAAUUGGCUAAUCAAGAGAGACUUAAAGGACCAAUUGGGGUACAUAAAAAUAUUAGAUAUGAAUAGGAAACACGGGAUGCUAUAUAGAAACAAACAGGGACAUAGGAGAGCAUUUGCAGGUGGCAAUACUAUAGAAGAAACAGAGAGGACAUAAUGAUUGAGAAGGGAAAUAUUCGGAGUCAUAUGAUGAGAGGAAUUAAAUCCAAAUGUCCAGGUGUGGAUAACCAAUGGAAGAGGGAAAUGCAACCUGAGUGAGUAGUACUCAUAGUAGGAAGGCAGGGGAAGAAUCCCCAUGAAUGGUUACUAAGCCGCUCUAUACUAUUUAAAUUGCUAAAACUCAGCCAAGAUUGAGGCAAGGACACACUGAUGUGGGUGCUGCAAAAAUCAUACUUCAAAAUAUUCAUACCGAUGUAGAUUGCAUAGAGGUAUUGAAACCAAGUGAGAAGUUAGCAGUUCUCUUAUCCCAUUUGUUACCAAUCUGCUGAAGUCUCUUUUGGGAUCACUCUCUGUAGGAUCAAUAAGUCGUUAAUUGCACAAGAUAAUGAUCCAAAAGACCUUUACCAACAAGAAAAUUUUUCAUCACAUGCUGCCCAAUAUUGGUAAUUAUUACAGUUAAACGGACACUUAGCCUUGGUUUUGUCAUCCAUCAUAUAUUUUUCUCAAAAAAGAAUAAUGAGAUAAAAACUAAGAUUCAGAAAAUGGCAAACAUUAAACAAAGGAAUAUAGAUCGUAGAGAGACAAAAGAGCCUUGACAGAUUAAAUAGCACAAGACAGGACUCAACCAGCAUAUUAGAAAGGCUAUAGCAAGAACAUAGUCGUGUGCUCAGCAGCUAUUAGAAAGGCUGAUUAGCACACAAUAGUUGGUGCUCGCAGUAGAACAAAACUCCAGGAGACAAAUAUUUUCUCAAUAUUAGAUAUAGCCUAGAUAGAAGGCUCACAGUAGACAACCAUCGGGCUCUCGCUGUGACUGGGGAAGAGAGAAAAGCAUUGGAGAUAAUAAAAUUCCACAGGGAGAGAAGGAUCUCGCAUCCACUGUUGAAAUAGAACAACACGAUGAAACAUCCAAAAAUCAAAAACUUCUUUGCAGGACCAGAUAUGACUCCUCGGAGCCAGGUGAGGGAGAAGAGCCUCAUCGGGGUCAGCAAGAUGGGUGUGGCAGAUAUAGAUCGGCUUGUUAACUGGGAGAGAAAAUAGUGACUGGUAAUCCAGAGCAGAUAAGAGGCCGACGAGCCUCAAUCGGGUCAGGCAAGAACGGGUGUUCACAGAUAUAGAAUCCAGACUAUUAACUGGUCAAGAAUGCACGACGGGCGUGGGUUGUCGAUCUUCGCAAGUCCAGGAUCUGGACGAGGACCUAUGAGCCUCGUCGAAGAAGUCCUCGCCAGAGGUUAAAGACCUCAGGUGACAGUCGGCGAAGAGUGGAGGAAUGUGCGGAGGGCGGGCAAGCAUAUGUUAGAGUUUAUGCUCUAAUACUAUGAUAAUUGAAUUAACUGUAGUAGACAACACAAUCGUGCUCGCUGUGACAGAGCGAGAAAGUCAUCGGGAGAUAGAAAGAGUCACAGGGAGGAGAGGAGCUCGUAGCCACAGUAAAGAGAGAAGACGACGAGUUGAACCCAGAAAACAAAACUUCUUCGAAAGCAAAAACAAAAUUCUUUGCAGCAACCAGAUCAUGACUCCCUCGGCGUUAGGUGAGACCGAAGAGCCUCAUCGGGAUCAAGCGAGGACAAGUGUUUGCAGAUAUAGAUCUGCUUGUUAACUGGUUAGAGUAUCGUGACUUGUCGGAAGCCAGAUGAGCGUCCGACGAGCCUCGUCGGGUCGGCGAGACGGGUGUUCAUAGAUUAAGAUCCGACCUAUGAACUGGUAGAAUGCACGACGGUGUGGGUGGUCGGAUCUUCGCAAGUCAAAGCUGAACGAGGACCUAUGAGCCGCGUCGACGAGAAGUCCUCGCCUGAGGUCAGAGAUCUCAGACGACAGUCGUCGACGAUGAGAGAUGUGCGGCGCGCGGACACAGUGAGGGUUUGGGCUCUUUUGGCCAUGAUACUUUGAAGUAACUGUAUAUGCUCAUUAACAAAAGAGAUGAACAAAAUAUAUUAUUACUAACCUGAUAAGGAAAAAAAACCCUCAACAGAAUACUAAACUGCCCGUAGGAAGCUAAAAAAAAAUAUAUAUAUAGAUAUAUAUAUAUUACAAAAGAACCUUGACAAUGGUAGCUGGAUUGUAUGACUAGGAUGGCUAGAUAGUACAAAUCUCUUUGACCCCUACCAUAACAAAUCCACGAAAACAACAUUAACCAUAGAAGUACAAAUCGCACAAAAACUGAAUUAAAUUGCGGAACUGUCCGAUUCAAAUGUGUGAAAAUAAACACACCACGCACACACUACCCACAUUACACAUCACAUAUACAGGAAAUAUUUAAUGAAGUCUUGUCAUUAGUGACACUAAACUCCCUGCCUCCGGACUGUAUCCUAUGACAUAAUAAGUUAGAGAUUGUUUCAUAUUAUAAGCUUCCAACAGCGAGAGAGGAACCUUGACAUUGGGACUGGGAUGCUUAUGACCAGCGGAUAGAAGUACAAAUCUAUUGAGUUUGUAGAAAAUAGCAAGUCUUGCAACGUCAUCGUCAACUCUGGAAACUCGUCAAAAAAGAGCAGUAGAGCAAAAAAAACAUGAAGCAACCGAGAUAAGAGUUUGCACGAAUGAAAUCACAUCCAUUCUAGUUUCGCAAAAUACAGUCAUUGUGAUAGAUGAAGUGAUAACAAGCUGCAAAGAAGAAGAAUUAAAAGCCGCUGUUAUAUGUGGCCUUAGAGACAAGAAUUAACAAUUUUGAAUUGAUCAAAAAGCAUCCUCAAGUAAAGAUGAGGAUAAGGAGAAAAAUACAUAUAAAACCUGAUUGAUUUGAAACAUAAAACAUGGAGGUUUCCUCUCAUGAGAAAGAAAUUCCCUUGACGUGCAAGCUCUAAAUAGUGUGCCCAUUUAGAAAGAGAAUACUUGCUAAAAAAACUGCAUCCUUGUGGCCCGAGAUUACAUAAAUACUUGAUAACUCUUCGUCAAGCUUCUUCCCAAACAAGAUUCAUUGGAAAAUGUAUGAAAUAAAUUUAAUUGUAAUAUUCUUCUUCUUGGUCCAGUACUGUACUUGAUCUUUCUUUGAUUACCCUCAAUGGCAAGCCAGUGUUUUGAAGUAUCCCACUUGAAGAAAAAUUAAGAACAAGAAAAAUCAAUAUGAACCCGAUAACACUAAUCUCUUGAGAAAGUCAUGCUACAACCUUUCCUUUCAAGACCCUUAAACCCACAAUCCUCAACAGAAAAGUAGAAAAGACUACCUUGGGGUCAAUCUUUUCUUUUGAACGCCUGAGAUUACAUCUCUCUGGCAUCUCCAACCAAUGUGUCAGCAACAGCCAUCCAUUCCUAAAAUCAUUUUUUUGUGAACUAACAUGGCAAACGAUGGGUAAUCAUCAGAAUAAACAUAUCCAAGGAAUUAUGAAUAAGAGUAUCAAUAUCAGCUCUGUCUAAAAGAGUUGCUUUAAGAUGUAGUUAGUCUAAGGGUUGUCUUUUGUCCUUUAAACAAACAUAAAGUGCCUGUUAAAAGAAAAUAUAGUUAUAACAGUUAUAACAAUAAGCCCUCAACUUAGGAGAAUAAGAAUGCAUUAAGUUGACCUCAAUAUUUUGCUGGGAAUUGAUAUCAACUUGCAUUUAUUAAGAAGCAUUUCUUUUUUGGAGUAAAAUCAUUUGAGGUGCUCAUCGCCUUAGAGGAUGCUUUGGCUUAAGGAUUGCAGUUAAUAACCAAUAAAAUUCCCAAAAAGAAUCCAAACUAAGUCAUUGUACGCAUUCACAAUGCAGCAUCCAAUAAAUGGGCAAGAGCUUUAGGCACGGCAUCAUUAUUAAUGCAUACAACCAUACUUAGACGCACAGUCAAUCAAAUGCAUAUUUUGUUAAUUUAAAAUCGAGAAGGUUCAUAUAAUGUGUAUGGAUAUUAAAAGCUAACCAACCAUUCUUAUACGCAAACCAUAAAACCUUCCCACUCCAAAUUAGGGAAUGACUCGUGUCAGACACUAAUUACCACACCAGGUCUUAUCAAAAAGUGAAAAGAACUAAGAAUCAUGACCAAACGUAUGUAUUUUGUGAAAAAGAUGCCUCAUCAUACAGGAGAGAAUAUUGUUUUUUUGCGAAAACGUUUUGACCGCAUCACCCAAAUAAGUUUCCUAUUAACUUGAACAUUGGCAAUGAGGUAAUAUAAGAAGAACAUCUUUAAUAACAUGUCAUUUCACACCAACUUUUACGCUCCUAAUGGCACGACCCCCCCCAACCAACCAUGUUUUAGGUCUGUUGAGUCCUCAUCUGAGUUUGCAUGGGAUCUUGGAUCUAUAAGUCGGAGCCGGUACCCAAAUGUAUCAUUGCCUAGCCAUUUUGCGGUGCGGUCCCAUGCCGUUACUCAAGCUUAGUUUUUUAUGUCUGCAAAAUAUGAUUUAAAAUACCAAAAUUUUGUGGGGAAAGAAUAAAAGAAUAGCUUGCAAGGUUCUAUUACCAUUUUACCUCCGCAAGCCGUCAAUACACUAUACUAAUCACCUAAAGCUCGAAAAUGUGACUAGGAAAUGUGAGGGGGGAAUUUUUCAACCAUCAUCAUGCAUAUAAAAAUGAAAAAUGUUAGCACAAUUUUGUAUUGCCUUAAAUAAAUAACAAAAGCCUUUAGGAAGCACAUUCCCUGUGUUUAUCAUGGGGCAAAAUCCAAAAUCUGGAGAUUCUAUUCCUCUGAACCGUAUUGACACUCCAGAAACAUAGUGAAAAGAGAAUAUCAGAGAUACUGAGGUACCUUCAUGUAAAAGAUCUAUAUUGGGUCUGGAUCAACUUCCUGCCUGUUACCCUGUGCUGACCUCUUAACCAUAAUGUAUUGAGAGGGCAUAUAAACAAUUAAUUUGU
rnacentral:lncRNA from 1 species